rnacentral:rRNA from 1 species
UACAGAGGUCUCAAGCGUUGUUCGGAUUCAUUGGGCGUAAAGGGUGCGUAGGUGGCGAGGUAAGUCAGGUGUGAAAUUUCGGAGCUUAACUCCGAAACUGCAUUUGAUACUGCCUUGCUUGAGGACUGGAGAGGAGACUGGAAUUCACGGUGUAGCAGUGAAAUGCGUAGAUAUCGUGAGGAAGACCAGUGGCGAAGGCGGGUCUCUGGACAGUUCCUGACACUGAGGCACGAAGGCCAGGGGAGCAAACGGG